ACGGGAGGCAGCAGUGAGGAAUAUUGGUCAAUGGGCGAGAGCCUGAACCAGCCAAGUCGCGUGAAGGAAGACGGCCCUAUGGGUUGUAAACUUCUUUUGUACGGGAAUAAAGUCAGAUACGCGUAUCUGUUUGCAUGUACCGUAUGAAUAAGGAUCGGCUAACUCCGUGCCAGCAGCCGCGGUAAUACGGAGGAUCCGAGUGUUAUCCGGAUUUAUUGGGUUUAAAGGGUGCGUAGGCGGGGGAUCAAGUCAGUGGUGAAAUGGUGCGGCUCAACCGUAGCAUUGCCGUUGAAACUGGUUCUCUUGAGUGCGAAUGAGGCAGGCGGAAUGUGUUGUGUAGCGGUGAAAUGCUUAGAUAUGACACAGAACACCGAUUGCGAAGGCAGCUUGCUGGGACGCAACUGACGCUGAGGCACGAAAGUGCGGGGAUCGAACAGGAUUAGAUACCCUGGUA
rnacentral:rRNA from 1 species